rnacentral:rRNA from 1 species
AACGCGUAGGUAACCUGCCUGGUAGCGGGGGCUUACUAUUGGAAACGAUAGCUAAUACCGCAUAAGAGUAGAUGUUGCAUGACAUUUGCUUAAAAGGUGCAAUUGCAUCACUACCAGAUGGACCUGCGUUGUAUUAGCUAGUUGGUGGGGUAACGGCUCACCAAGGCGACGAUACAUAGCCGACCUGAGAGGGUGAUCGGCCACACUGGGACUGAGACACGGCCCAGACUCCUACGGGAGGCAGCAGUAGGGAAUCUUCGGCAAUGGACGGAAGUCUGACCGAGCAACGCCGCGUGAGUGAAGAAGGUUUUCGGAUCGUAAAGCUCUGUUGUAAGAGAAGAACGAGUGUGAGAGUGGAAAGUUCACACUGUGACGGUAUCUUACCAGAAAGGGACGGCUAACUACGUGCCAGCAGCCGCGGUAAUACGUAGGUCCCGAGCGUUGUCCGGAUUUAUUGGGCGUAAAGCGAGCGCAGGCGGUUAGAUAAGUCUGAAGUUAAAGGCUGUGGCUUAACCAUAGUACGCUUUGGAAACUGUUUAACUUGAGUGCAAGAGGGGAGAGUGGAAUUCCAUGUGUAGCGGUGAAAUGCGUAGAUAUAUGGAGGAACACCGGUGGCGAAAGCGGCUCUCUGGCUUGUAACUGACGCUGAGGCUCGAAAGCGUGNGGAGCAAACAGGAUUAGAUACCCUGGUAGUCCACGCCGUAAACGAUGAGUGCUAGGUGUUAGACCCUUUC